rnacentral:rRNA from 1 species
GUUUGAUCCUGGCUCAGAAUGAACGCUGGCGGCGUGGUUCAGACAUGCAAGUCGAACGGGAUCGUUCAAGUAGCUUGCUAUUUGAACGUGAGAGUGGCGAACGGGUGCGUAACACGUAAAGAACCUACCCUUAUAUGGGGGAUAGCUCAUCGAAAGGUGAAUUAAUACCGCAUGUGAUUUUUCUCUGCAUGGAGAAGGAAUUAAAGCCGGGGACCUUCGGGCCUGGCGUAUAAGGAGGGCUUUGCGGCCUAUCAGCUUGUUGGUGAGGUAACGGCUCACCAAGGCGACGAUGCGUAGCCGACCUGAGAGGGUGAUCGGCCACACUGGGACUGAGACACGGCCCAGACUCCUACGGGAGGCAGCAGUGGGGAAUAUU